AUACACCGUACGGGUGGCAGCAGUAGGGAAUAUUGCUCAAUGGGCGAAAGCCUGAAGCAGCAACGCCGCGUGUGCGAUGAAGGCCUUCGGGUCGUAAAGCACUUUUCUGAGAGAUGAGAAAGGACAGUAUCUCAGGAAUAAGUCUCGGCUAACUACGUGCCAGCAGCCGCGGUAAAACGUAGGAGGCGAGCGUUAUCCGGAUUCACUGGGCGUAAAGCGCGUGCAGGCGGUUCGGUAAGUUGGGCGUGAAAUCUCCUGGCUUAACUAGGAGAGGUCGUUCAAUACUACCGGGCUUGAGAGUGGUAGAGGAAGAUGGAAUUCCAGGUGUAGUGGUGAAAUGCGUAGAUAUCUGGAGGAACACCAGUGGCGAAAGCGAUCUUCUGGACCAUUUCUGACGCUCAGACGCGAAAGCUAGGGUAGUAAACGGGAUUAGAGACCCCGGUAAUCCUAGCCGUAAACGAUGUAAACUUGGCGUCGGUGGCUUAAACUCCAUCGGUGCCGUAGCUAACGCGAUAAGUUUACCGCCUGGG
rnacentral:rRNA from 1 species